rnacentral:lncRNA from 1 species
AUGGUUCAAUAUUUGCAAAUCAAUCAAUGUGUUACAUCACAUCAACAAAAUGAAGGAUGGGGCACCUUGGUAGCUCAGUUGGUUAAGUGUCUGACUCUUAAUUUUUGCUCACGUCAUGAUCUUGGGGUCCUGGGAUUGAGCACUGUGUUGAGGGUUCCAUGCUUAGUGGGGAAUCUGUUGGGGAUUCUCUGCCUUCCUCUGCCCAUCCCAUUGCUUGCAUUCUCUCUAAUCUUUUUUUUUUUAAAUGAAGGAUAAAAAUCAUAUAACCAUCUCAAGAGAUUCAGAAAAAGCAUUUGACAAUAUUUAACAAAGGGGUUUAGAGGAAAUCUAUCUCAGCAUAUCAAAGGCUAUUAUGACAAACAUAACUGACAUACCCAAUGAGGAAAAGCUUUCAGCUAACAGGUUUUCCUCUAAAACCUGAGACAAGACAAGAAUGUCAGUCUGCUCUAGCCACUUUUAUUCAACAUAAUACUGGAAGUCCUAGCCACAGCAAUCAGACAAGAAAAAGACAUAAGCAUCCAGAUUGGUAAGGAAGAAGUAAAACUUUCAGUAUUUGGAGAAGACAAUAUAUAGAAACCCUAAAGAUUCCACCAAAAAAACCAUUAGAACUGAUAAAUGAAUUCAUUUAUGUCUCAGGAUAUAAAACUAAUAUACAGGAAUCUUUCAUUUCUGUACACUAAUAAAUAGCAAAAAGAGAAAGAAAACAAUCCUACCUAUAAUUGUACCAAAAGGAAUAAAAUACCUCAACUAGUACUCUAAAACUAUAGAAUAUUGAAAAAAAUGAAAGAUGACACAGCAAAUGGAAAGAUAUUCCAUGCUCGUAAAAUGGAAGAACUAAUAUUGUUAAAACGUCCAUACUACCCAAAGCAGUAUAUAGAUUUAAUGCAAUCCUCAUCAAAAUAUCAAUAACAUUUUUCACAGAACUGGAACAAAUAACAGUUAAAUUUGUAUGGAACCACACAAAACCCCAAAUAACCACAGCAAUCUUGAGAAAGAACAAACCUGGUGGUAUCACAAUCCCAAACUCAAGAUACACUACAAAGAUGGAGUAAUCAAAACAAUAUGCUACUGACACAAAAGUAGACACAGAUCAUUGGAACAGAAUAGAGAGCCCAGAAAUAAACCCAUGCAUAUAUGGUCAAUUAAAAGAGAGGAGGCAAGGAUAUACAAUGGGGAAGUGACAGUCUCUUCAGUAAACGGUGUUGGGAAGACUGGACAGGUAUAUACAAAAGAAUGAAACUGGACAAAUCCUUACACCAUACACAAAAAUAAACUCAAAAUGGUUUGAAGCCUUAAUUAUGAGACCCAAAGCAGUAAAACUCCUUAAAAUAUUAAGACAGUAAUCUCUUAGAUGUUGGCCUUAACAACAUUUUUUCUAGAUCUGACUCCCCAGGCAAGGGAAACAAAAACAAAAUUAAAAUUAAUUUUUAUUUAUCAAAAUAAAAAGCUUCAAAAGCUUCUGUAUAGUGAAGGAAACCAUCAAUAAAACAAAAAGUUCAACCUACUGAAUAGGAGAAGAUAUUUGCAAAUGAUAUACCUGAUAAGGGAUGAAUAUCGAAAAUAUAUAAAGAGCUCAUUAUACAACUCUACGUACACACACACACACGUACACACGCGCGCGCGCGCCAAAAAAUCUAAUGUAAAAAUGGGCAGAGGACUUGAACGGUUUUUUCCAAAGAAGACAUUCAGAUGGCCAACAGAUACGUGAAAAGAUGCACAACCUCACUAAUCAUAAAGAAAAUGCAAAACUGAAAUAUCACCUUAGACCUGCUAGAAUGCUAAAAUAAAAAAGACAAAAAGUGUUAGGAUGUGGGGAAAAGGGAACUCUCAUGCACUGUUGGUGGGAAUGUAAAUUGGUGCAGCCACAGCAGAAAACAGUAUGGACCUUCCUCAAGGUUUGGUAAUUCCUUUCUAUGAUGACACAAAAGAUACAAAGGAAAAGAGUGACAAUCUCUUGGAGGAAAUAAAUCCGUAAAACCAAGAGUAGCGAGCCCAAGGAACCAGUUCCACAAUAUUUUCUCCUAAUCUAAAUUUAGAGAAAUUAAGGUUGUCACCACUCUCACUCCACUGGACUCUGUAGACAGAGAUUCUGGGAGCUGGUGUGGUAAGAAAUCUCACCUUCUACCAGCUAUCUGUCCGAUGUCCCAAGAUCUCAAAGCUGCAGAACUUUCACGGCAAAUAUCCAGUGGAAGUGUAACCUGCCAACUAGGCCAAUUGAAGAUGAGGACGAUAUUUUUCUUCUUUCCAAGGUUCUUCUGGCUGGACUACAAAAUCUAUAGGAGAAAAUUAACAGGAGAAACUAACAUCUUAUUUUGUGCACACAGACCCAAUAAUGAAACUGAGAUGUGAAUUAAUGAGCAAGGUGGGGAGUUUUUGUGCAUUUUAGACAGAGACAGUAAAUCUGUGAGAAAUUGACAGCAUAAAGAAAAUGGAUAUUUGGGAGUUUUAUUAGGGAAUUCUAAGUGGAAUUUGGGCUGAGGUAGUAGAUUAGUAAAGGAAAAGUAACAAAGUUUGUUUCCAUAGCUUUCUUGGCUUCAAAAUCCUUUUCUCUGGUAAUGAGGAUAUCUUUUUAGCUCUUAAUACAGAGAGAGUACCUUUCAUAUGGGAGAUUUAUUUUCUGCUUCAGGAGGAUAGGAGAGGGUCUGAGUGUCCUUGGACCUAUGGUUCCCCAAGUAGCUUCAAUUCAAAAUAAUGACUAUGCCAUUGUGCUACGUUAUGGGCGGCCUGCCCUUGGCCCCUGCAGAGGAACGUGGCAAAGAUCUGGGCAAAUGCACAGAUACACAUUGAAAAGAUCUCUAUCAUGUAGGUUAGAAAUCAAGAUCCUACAUUAUUGUAGUUUGUUUCUCUUCAGCCUGGAGUAAAUAGAAUCAUGAGUAAUUCUGCCCUUUGAGGAACAAAGCAUUUUGGUCUCAAUAGCUUUAUUCUGAAAAGUAGAUCUCACCGGUGUGUUCAUUCUUAGGUUGAAACAACUGUCAGUGUAGAUAAAAUCCAUUAAUACCUUAUUAUUGAUCGAUGUUUCAACAUGAGUAUGAACAAUAUUUGUAAGUAAAAAGUGGUCAUAAGUGUUGGAAUAUGUUCAUUAUGUACCAAGCUAGGGUGGAGACUGUAUUGUGCUCUCUUUCCAGCAGCUUCCUGCCAAUAGACACUGCAGAGAAAGGAGGCACCAGGGACCAGUCUUACUCGGUGCUGUAGUGCCAGCCCCAGCCCCAGCCCAGUGUCUGACUUGCAUUAAUGGAACAAGUGAACUUUUUCCCAGAUUUCUUACUCCAUCAAGUUUCUGAGAAACUUUUUAUUGGUUCCUGAUACCUGUCCCCGCUCUCCAUUAGCUGUUUGGGAAGGAAACAAUAAGAGGAAACAUUUCUGAGACUCAUUUACAAGACUUCUAACAUUUCUGAGAAGGAAUGGAGGACACACGCAAGAGAUUGCUCUCUGAUUGCCGGUGGUGUUGCGGGGGGAAGAGCAUUCUGUAUUUAGCACCUUGUGUCUUUUGAUGCUUGGUGCAGGAAGCUGUCUCUCAGGGUAGCAUUAAAGACUCUCCAGUUUUUGAAGUAGGCUGCCCAGGGUGAAGCUUACAUCUUCAGAGCUGGUAUUGGCUGAUGCCUGGAGUUCAUUGUCUGUCUAUUCUCAGUACCAUUUUGAGACACCUCCUCUGAGAUUUACCUAAUUAUAUUGCUAGCCAUUCCACCAAAUAAUCCUCAGUUUGAAUCAAGGAAGGCAGGCUGCAAGUGUACCAGAGGUUGGCGGGGUUGGGGUGGGGGGAAGCUUGGUCUCCAUUUAAAAGAAGACCCAUACCUUUUAAGAAAAAAAAUGUAAUAAUUUGUUGGCUUAUUGAAUUAUUUAUAUCUUUUGACAUGUGAGAAGAUGCCCGUGAACCAAGGGGAGAAGCAGUGGUGGUUCCUCAGCACAAUGAAAACGUCUAUGCAUCACUUGCAAGCACAGAUCAUUUCUGUGCUAGUUGCUCUCAUCUAGAGAAUGGCCUCAUCCUCCAAUAAAAGGGAUGAUUUAUAAAGUGGGACUUCUGAACGAAUUCUGUGGAGGAGAGGUGGGAAGGCACAGGGGAGUCUGAUUUUUCCAGCCUCUUUGCUCUUCCUUCAGUAUCAUACUUUAAGAACAAAGAUUGGGGGAGGAGAAGGCUGCAGAGCAGUAGGGUGUGUAGUAGGCCAGCUAAAGACAUGAGUUCAUAUUCAGAUUUCAAGCUUAUAAAUACCAACACUGAUUUUCAGCCUUCUGAGUUAUCUGAGGAAAGGGAAAUUUUGUAAUAAACUGUUUUGCCAAACCGAAUGGGUCUUUUUACCAUGAUUUCUCAUGAAGAGUAAUUUUCUACCUUCUGAAACAACUUAUCAGACACCUGGUUUUUAUCUUGAAUCUGUACAUUGUUUCUUAAUAAAAGUGAUAAAUUUCU